rnacentral:rRNA from 1 species
UACAGAGGGGGCAAGCGUUGUUCGGAAUUACUGGGCGUAAAGGGCGCGUAGGCGGCCGCCUAAGUCAGACGUGAAAUCCCUCGGCUCAACCGGGGAACUGCGUCUGAUACUGGGUGGCUUGAAUCCGGGAGAGGGAUGCGGAAUUCCAGGUGUAGCGGUGAAAUGCGUAGAUAUCAGGAAGAACACCCGUGGCUAAGGCGGCUCUCUAGUACGGUACUGACGCUGAGACGCGAAAGCGUGGGGAGCGAACAGG